rnacentral:lncRNA from 1 species
UUGAAUCUUUACAAGUACCAAGUAAAAGCCCCAUCUUUAGGAGUUUGAUUCAUACAAGCAAAACAUCGAAAUAAGCUAAAACAACAACAGGAGGAAAACAAGAAAAGCAACUCAAAACUACAACAUUAGCUCCAAAGUUCCAAUUUUUACCGCCCUAUCGAGCAACUGAUGCUUGAAUCUUUACCAGAAGCAAAAGACCCACCUUUAAUAGUUCGAUUCUUAAACUCAAAAACACCUAAUUAGAGCAUUCAACGCACACCCAAAAUCAAAUCUUGAAAUAACCCUAAUACCAACCUCAAUAAUUCACCAAUAAAUACAUACAAAAAAUAAGGAAAUACCGACCUGAAUAACAAUAAAGAUUCUGAAAAAGAUUGAAAAGAGAGAGAAAGGAAAAGGAA